AUGGGAAUCACCAAGGAAUUUGAGGUGCAGGCCCACGGCAACACCAAGUUGCAAGUGAUCCACACCAACGAGUUGCACAAGGCUGCCACCAUCAUUGAGCAGUACGAGCGACACCUCGAAUUCGAGCGCCACAAGAUCGUCGGAGUUGAUGUGGAGUACACCAAUGACGUUGGCGAAGAUCAGAAACCAGCCCUCGUCAUGAUCUCCAUCGGCAAGGAUCAUCCGGUGCUACUCUUUCAACUGAGCGCCGCCGACAAGAACUGCACCACGUUCGACAACUUCCUCGCCGACCCCAGGUACACGUUUGUUGGCUUCUCCAUCGACGGUGACAAAGAGAUGCUCGGCCGAGUCGGACUGGAGAUCGCCCACUUCGUCGACAUCCAGAAAGAAUGGAGGGUGCCUACAGCUACCAAGCCUCUGGACUCCCUUGGGGACGCGUCAGGCAUCCUUGUGAACGACAUAGAGCUCACCAACGCAUAG
rnacentral:rRNA from 1 species